rnacentral:rRNA from 1 species
GGCGGCGUGCCUAAUAACAUAGCAAGUCGAACGCACUCUCGUUUAGAUUGAAGGAGCUUGCUCCUGAUUGAUAAACAUUUGAGUGAGUGGCGGACGGGUGAGUAACACGUGGGUAACCUGACCUAAGUGGGGAUAACAUUUGGAAACAGAUGCUAAUACCGCAUAAAACCUAACACCGCAUGGUGUAGGGUUGAAAGAUGGUUUCGGCUAUCACUUUAGGAUGGACCCGCGGUGCAUUAGUUAGUUGGUGAGGUAAAGGCUCACCAAGACCGUGAUGCAUAGCCGACCUGAGAGGUAAUCGGCCACACUGGGACUGAGACACGGCCCAGACUCCUACGGGAGGCAGCAGUAGGGAAUCUUCCACAAUGGACGAAAGUCUGAUGGAGCAACGCCGCGUGAGUGAAGAAGGUUUCGGAUCGUAAAACUCUGUUGUUGGAGAAGAAUGUAUCUGAUAGUAACUGAUCAGGUAGUGACGGUAUCCAACCAGAAAGCCACGGCUAACUACGUG